GACUUGCUAGGUGGAGGCAGACAAAAGCAAGCCAACUGAAGAGAGCAGCACAAGGAUGCAGGUCCUUGCCCUAUUCACCCAGAGGCCAUAAAGUUGGGACAAGUGCCUUUCCUGGAGUUAGUGGAGGCCACAAAAGCAGAAGAGCUAUUUGUGAUACCAGGGGCAGCCUGGAAUAAGGAUUUGUGCCAUAUAACCCAUCUGGGCAUCUAAGCACUAUAAUAUUUAACUCCAUUGGCAUAUCAGUAACAGAGGAAGCCUGUGGCAGAAGAAAAUGCUGGCUGGCCCAAAACACCCUCUAAAGCAGACACAGCAUGUGCUUAACCAGGCUUAGUGCAGACCAGACGUAAGGUCUGGCCUCCUCAGGGUAAUGUAUCUCAGUCACUGCAUACUGACAGUGUGCAGUUUAGAUAGCUCUAGGGAUACUUCACAGUUUGUAAAUAUUUCCUUUCAAAUCCUUGCUCCUCAUGAAGCUGGAACAGCUCCUUGUAUCUCAAGCAAACACAUACAGAAAAACAUAAACUAAGAUCUUCUAGACACAUGGAGAAGUAUUGGAUUCACUCCUGCUUGCCUGUUUUUAAUUCCUGACACUGCCUAUGUUACAUAAACAGUUUUCAAGCAGAAAUCCCCUUUUACUUUGAUUAGUAGUUGCACUUUAAAAUCAAUUACAUAAUAUAUCCUUUGGGAAGGAAACAAUUUCUGAGAAUAAAUGAACAGCCAGCUUUCUGGAUCUUAGAAAUAGCACUAAGAUCUAUUAAAAUGCAAACCAGCUGUUCAAGAAGCUCCUCAGAGGCUUCUAAAAGACAGAAAAGAUUUGACAAUUGAACUUCAAGCAAAAGUGCUUAGGUUAAAAAGUAAGUAAUUUUAACAAGACUUUGAUGUCUGAUUAUCUGAAAUUAGGAACUUCUUAGCUCACUAAUUUCCUCUGGUUUUCAUAACCGAGUUCAUCAGCUAAACACCAACUGGACUUCAAGGAGUGUAUUGAUGUGACACAAAUCACAAACAAUACAAUUUCUUAGGAGGCCUUGUAAGGGGCAAGAAGUAGUUUUUGUUCUAUUCAUCCAACUGCAUUUGUGCAAAAGCUCUCUGUGCUGUGCUAGCAACCCGAAGCUGUCCUUCCAAAUCAGUGAGCUUUGGGUUUUAAUCACUGCAAGUAAAUGAGCUAUUCUAGUUACCAAAAGAGAAACAGUUGCCAAUCAUAGUAGAGAAGAAAGCAGACCCACUGCAGGGCAUGAAAUUAAAUUUUCCAGGUAGUAGCCAGUAAUUGAUACCACAAUGUGACCUUUGCCAAUAGCAGCCAAUUUAGAGCUGCGUGGAACCGUAGCCGAAGUAGGACAGAGGCUAUGAUCACCAGCACGCUUGCUCAGCAAAGACAGUGCUCUCUGCCUUCACUGGCACGUAGAUCUGUGCCUUUGUAAUUCACACGAAGCAAGACUCUCACCAGAUGCAGACAGCAUCCCAAGAAUAUCUUUACACAGACCUAUUUUUAAUAACAUUUUUUGUAACAUGGCAAAAUAACAGUACAGCAAAUUUGCAUACAAAUUACAAGGAAUUAACAGGUCUCCUUAAUACUAGCAUAUUUUAUGUGCCCUUAGUC